rnacentral:rRNA from 1 species
GACGAACGCUGGCGGCACGCUUAACACAUGCAAGUCGAACGGAGUUAAACGAGAGCUUGCUCUUGUUUAACUUAGUGGCGGACGGGUGAGUAACACGUGAGCAACCUGCCUUUAAGAGAGGAAUAACAGUCUGAAAAGACUGCUAAUACCUCAUAACAUAACGAAGCCGCAUGGCUUUGUUAUCAAAGAUUUAUCGCUUAAAGAUGGGCUCGCGUCUGAUUACCUUGUUGGUGAGGAAACGGCCCACAAAGGCGACGAUCAGUAGCCGUACUGAGAGGUAGAUCGGCCACAUUGGGACUGAGACACGGCCCAGACUCCUACGGGAGGCAGCAGUGGGUAAUAUUGCACAAUGGAGGAAACUCUGAUGCAGCGAUGCCGCGUGAGGGAAGAAGGUUUUCGGAUUGUAAACCUCUGUCUUCAGGGACGAUAAUGACGGUACCUGAGGAGGAAGCUCCGGCUAACUACGUGCCAGCAGCCGCCGUAA